UUUCCGUAGGUGAACCUGCGGAAGGAUCAUUAAAGUUAUAGUCCCCCGGCCCUCUGGGCUGGGGUCUUCUAUACCACCCUUUGUUUAUUACACCUUUGUUGCUUUGGCAGGCCUGCCCUCGGGCUGCUGGCUCCGGCCGGCUCGCGUCUGCCAUAGGACCUAAACUCUGCUUGUAUAUGAAGUCUGAGUACUAUAUAAUAGUUAAAACUUUCAACAACGGAUCUCUUGGUUCUG
rnacentral:misc_RNA from 1 species